GCCCCCGUAGCUCACCUGGAUAGAGCGCGCGCCUCCUAAGCGCGAGGUAGUGAGUCCGAGUCUCGCCGGGGGUGCCA
rnacentral:tRNA from 1 species